rnacentral:rRNA from 1 species
GACAGAGGGGGCAAGCGUUGCUCGGAAUUAUUGGGCGUAAAGAGCUCGUAGGCGGUGCGUCGCGUCGGCCGUGAAAACCUGCAGCUUAACUGUGGGCGUGCGGUCGAUACGGGCAUCACUGGAGUUCGGCAGGGGAGACUGGAAUUCCUGGUGUAGCGGUGAAAUGCGCAGAUAUCAGGAGGAACACCGGUGGCGAAGGCGGGUCUCUGGGCCGAUACUGACGCUGAGGAGCGAAAGCGUGGGGAGCGAACAGG